rfam:Paraburkholderia caribensis strain Bcrs1W chromosome 1, complete sequence.
CCGUCUCUCAGGUUCUAGCACGGCCCUCGGAAUGGCUAGAACUUUUUGAAGGCGCCAUGGAAACAUGGCGCCUUUUUUU